GACCGGGGACGGGAGCGCUGAGGGCGAGGGUGCCGUGCGUGUGGGCAUGUGGGCACUGCGGCGGCCCUGAGGCACCUGCACUGAGCCGCCACCGAGCCGUCACCGCGGGAUUUUGGCUAUGCCACUUCUGCAAUGAAUGUAAGAGUGUUAAUUAAAAAAAAAAAGUUACCAGCCAAUUUGCAGAGUUCUCAUAUAAUCUGAAAAGAGAAAAUACAAGAAAACACAUGAUACAAAGAGGAGCUUUCAGCAUGACAGCCAAAAAAAGGGGAAUGUAUGCUUUCAGAGAGGAGAGAGGCAGAAACAGAGGAAGGAAAGACUAGUGAAGACUUCGGCAGAAAAUAUUUGGCAUCAUGAAAUCGAACAAAACAACUGGUUCCCAGCAAGAAAGCUUCAACUGGAAAUGCAGAACAUAUGGAAGAGCUGCCCACAUCUUUGUGGUUCUCUUAAGACUUGAAAAGAUACUAUAUUAGUGGGAUUUUAGGAGCAAUAAGAGGUGUACUAAUAAUCAUCUUUGAAAUAAAAUACUGCUAAACAAGGAUAUGAUUUGGGUACAAUUCCACCAGUGACAGCAGAACUUGAGUACACUCUCCAGUUAGAAUGAGCAACCCUACUAUCUUUUGCAAUGAUCCUUAAAAAGUUCAGUUGAAAUUCAGAACACUGCAGCUAAUGAGUGAAUUACAGUGGAAUGGCUGCUCAAAAUUUUCCAGAAGAAGCGUAAC